CGGGGGAGCAAGCGUUGUUCGGAAUCACUGGGCGUAAAGGGCGUGUAGGCGGUUCAGCAAGUGGAAUGUGAAAUGCCCCGGCUCACCCGGGGACCUGCAUUCCAAACUGCUGGGCUUGAGUAUGGGAGAGGAUGAGGGAAUUCCUGGUGUAGCGGUGAAAUGCGUAGAUAUCAGGAGGAACACCGGUGGCGAAAGCGCUCAUCUGGCCCAAUACUGACGCUGAGGCGCGAAAGCUAGGGGAGCAAACGGGAUUAGAUACCCCGGUAGUCCUAGCCGUAAACGGUGAUCACUAGGUGUUGGAGGCAUCGACCCCUCCAGUGCCGCAGCUAACGCAUUAAGUGAUCCGCCUGGGGAGUACGGCCGCAAGGUUG
rnacentral:rRNA from 1 species